AACGCUGGCGGCGCGCUUAACACAUGCAAGUCGAGCGAGAACCAGGGCUUCGGCCCUGGGGACAGCGGCGAACGGGUGAGUAACACGUGGGUAAUCUGCCCUCGGUUCUGGGAUAGCCCGGGGAAACCCGGAUUAAUACCGGAUAGCCUCUCGAGCCCUCGGGCUCGUGAGAAAAGGUAGCUUCGGCCUCCGACCGAGGAGGAGCCUGCGGCGGAUUAGCUUGUUGGCGGGGUAACGGCCCACCAAGGCGACGAUCCGUAGCUGGUCUGAGAGGAGGGUCAGCCACACUGGGACUGAGACACGGCCCAGACUCCUACGGGAGGCAGCAGUGGGGAAUCUUGCGCAGUGGGCGAAAGCCUGACGCAGCGACGCCGCGUGAGGGAAGAAGGCCUUCGGGUUGUAAACCUCUUUCAGGAGGGACGAAGCCACUCGGGUUAAUAGCCCAGAGGGUGACGGUACCUCCAGAAGAAGCCCCGGCUAACUACGUGCCAGCCGCCGCGGUAACAC
rnacentral:rRNA from 1 species